rnacentral:rRNA from 1 species
UACAGAGGGUGCAAGCGUUGUUCGGAUAUACUGGGCGUAAAGCGCACGUAGGCGGCUUCGUAAGUCAGGGGUGAAAUCCCGGAGCUCAACUCCGGAACUGCCCUUGAAACUGCAAUGCUAGAAUCUUGGAGAGGCGAGUGGAAUUCCGAGUGUAGAGGUGAAAUUCGUAGAUAUUCGGAAGAACACCAGUGGCGAAGGCGGCUCACUGGACUGGUAUUGACGCUGAGGUACGAAAGCGUGGGGAGCAAACAGG